rnacentral:rRNA from 1 species
UACGAAGGGGGCUAGCGUUGUUCGGAAUUACUGGGCGUAAAGCGCGCGCAGGCGGUCUUCCAAGUCAGUGGUGAAAGCCCGGAGCUCAACUCCGGAACUGCCAUUGAAACUGUUAGACUUGAGGACGAGAGAGGUGAGUGGAAUUCCCAGUGUAGAGGUGAAAUUCGUAGAUAUUGGGAAGAACACCAGUGGCGAAGGCGGCUCACUGGCUCGUUUCUGACGCUCAGGCGCGACAGCGUGGGGAUCAAACAGG